CAGAACCCUCUUGAAGUCUGAGACAGGCAUUCAUGGGCAGCCCAGAGUUGGGGGAAUUGAGAGUUUCACCUGACUUGAACCCUCUAAAGCAGAGAGUUUUCUUUUGAAUCUACUUCUCCCUUCUAUUGAACUCCAAACAUGAUCCGUCCAGGAAGCACUAGCCAAAACUGAAAGGGUUUGUGUUUAAAAAGUUUCCAAACUGUUUACUUGCAGAGAGAUCAAGCAUGGAAAAUAUCAGCCCAAGAGGUAAAUAUUUUGGAAAGUUAUGAGCAUCUGAAAGCUAGCUGUUAGAAUGCAAUUGUUUUUGCAGCUGGGACCACUGUAGUAGUUUAAAAUUAAAUUAUUAUAUACAGUGUAGACACGUAAUGAGCUCUGUGUGGCUUGAAAACUUGUCUCUCUCACCAACAGAAGUUGGUCCAAAAAAAGAUAAAACUAAAUUAUGUCAUGUAAACGACCACAGUACAUUUUGUAAUGUAUUACCUUUGCAUUUUUAUUGUUGACUUUUUUGUUAAUUUGCAAAAUUAACUCAUUUGCAGCCGGUCUCCCAAUUGUCAGUUUGAGGUUCUUCAUUGUUUUGAAUCUGGUCAUAAAGGCUUGGAUUUUCAAAGGAGCCCAGGAGAAUUAGACAACCAAAUCCCCCAUUGAAUUUCUCUGGCAUUUGGACACUUAAAUCCCUUAGAGUCCUUUGAAAUUCCCAACCAAAAAUAUUAAAUUUUUGAUAAUUUCAUGAGUAUUUCUCCUGUAGAAUAUUGGUGAGGUUUGUAUACUGUCAUGAUUAAUUUACCCAACUGUGGUAAAUAGCAAAAAAUAGCUAUUUAGUGCAAAAUUCUGUCAGCAGAUCCACACAGGCAGAUUUUUAAGAAGUGGUUAAGUGAUGUCUGUCUUGUGUAGAGAGAUUUGACUGCAGUGCUAGAAGAUUCUGCAAUACCAAAAAAUGUGUGUAAUUCCUUGUCUCCCAGAGUUUCUGGUGUUUGAUUGGCCCAAAGGAAUCUUUGUUUAUCACAACAUGCCAUUUAUUCCUCCUAUUCUGAUUAUUCAGACUUAUUUGAAGAGUGUAAAUUAUUCUUACUUUACUUGGAAUUUCUCUGGAGGCUCCUUGAAUACAUAAAUGCUAAAGGGAGAAUAUUUUUUACACACUUCCAUAGCACUGUAAAAGACUGUAGCACUGAAGAACAUUAUGUGGAUUUGUAAUUGUCCCUGGAGGAUUUUGAUGCUAUAAACAAAUUAUAUUGGCAGUUUGUGACAAGUAUCCUUUUCUCAUAUUUUUUACAUAACACCCAUUUUCCUGAGAGCAGUACUCUGACUUUUUAACAUAAGUAGAUCUUCAUCUUAAUAAGAAGUCUGUGUGUAUGUAUAAUUAUUUUAAAUUGUGUAUGUGUGUAAAGCAUAUGUUAUCCCUUAUAGCCGUGGUUGCCUAGCUCACCACUCCCUUUUCCAGUAGUUUGACUUUCUUCAAACUUUUUUGGGCUGAAACUUUUUAGAUCUUAUUUCUUCUCAGGGUUUUUUUUUGUUAUUUUUUGGAAGACUUGAGCAGAAAUGAGGAAAGUUGGAUUAAAAAAGGCAACUUUUCACAUUUAAUUAAAAAAAACCAGCUCUAAUUUCAAGAAGGCAGUUAACAUUUGGCAGGGAGUCUGUAAGGGGAUAGAGGUCACAUUUAGGUUUGGUCUACUAUGCUUACGACUUAGGUCAAUCUAGCGACUUGGGGGUGUUUAAUGUUUCACACCCCUGAGAGACACAUUUAAAUUGACCUAAGCCCUGAUAUUAGGAUUGCCAACUGCCUAAUUGCACAAACCCAAACACCUUUGCCCUGUUCUACCCCUUCCGUGAGGCUAUGCCCCUGUCCUGCCCCUUCUCUGAAGCCCCGCCACCGCUCACUCCACCACCCUUCCCCACCCUCACUAACUUUCACCAGGCCGGGACAGAGGAUUGGGGUGCAGGAAGGGGUGUGGGCUUUUUG